UACGUAGGGUGCGAGCGUUAAUCGGAAUUACUGGGCGUAAAGCGUGCGCAGGCGGUUUUGUAAGUCGGAUGUGAAAUCCCCGGGCUCAACCUGGGAACUGCGUUCGAAACUGCAAGGCUAGAGUGUGUCAGAGGGGGGUAGAAUUCCACGUGUAGCAGUGAAAUGCGUAGAGAUGUGGAGGAAUACCAAUGGCGAAGGCAGCCCCCUGGGAUAACACUGACGCUCAUGCACGAAAGCGUGGGGAGCAAACAGG
rnacentral:rRNA from 1 species